CCUACGGAGGACAGCAGUGAGGAAUAUUGGUCAAUGGGCGGAAGCCUGAACCAGCCAAGUAGCGUGCAGGAUGACGGCCCUACGGGUUGUAAACUGCUUUUAUACGGGAAUAACGCGCCUUACGUGUAGGGCUUUGCAUGUACCGUAUGAAUAAGGACCGGCUAAUUCCGUGCCAGCAGCCGCGGUAAUACGGAAGGUCCGGGCGUUAUCCGGAUUUAUUGGGUUUAAAGGGAGCGUAGGCCGCAUGUCAAGCGUGCUGUGAAAUGUCCGGGCUCAACCCGGGCCUUGCAGCGCGAACUGGCGUGCUUGAGUCCGCGGAAAGCAGGCGGAAUUCGUCGUGUAGCGGUGAAAUGCUUAGAUAUGACGAAGAACCCCGAGUGCGAAGGCAGCUUGCUGCAGCGGAACUGACGCUGAUGCUCGAAAGCGCGGGUAUCGAACAGGAUUAGAUACCCCAGUAGUC
rnacentral:rRNA from 1 species